CUCAGGGGUUCUUGCUCACUCCCAGGACCUGUUCACGCGUGUCCACAAUUUGGUCCCCCUUGUGCCUGAAAACCUUCCAGGAGGACGCUCGCCUUCCACUGUCCACAGCCCCCAGAUGUAGAAACUGAAACCCAGCUUGGGGACCGCCUUCCUGAGGACACAACGCUGGGUAAGGCUGGGCUUGGCCCUGCUGGGGAAAAGGGGUCAGGGUGGGAUCUGGGGAGCAGGAAGCUGUCCACUGUAGGAAGAGGGGAGGGGAAGACCCAGAGAAAGCCCCGGCUCCUGGCCGCUCCCCAGCCCAGCCCAGCCUCAGCCCCAGGCGGGUCCAAGAAGAGUGUGUGAUGUCACGCCAGCCUCAGGGGAGGGUGCCGGCAGUCUUGCCCGGGCCACCAGCAACAGUGGCUCUCGAGGAAGGACCCGGAAGUUGGCCCGCAAAGCUGGCCCCAACCCACUCUGAUCUGUGGUCCCCUCCAUGGUUGCAGGAAGAGUGGUCUCUUUUGUCUUGGCUUACGAUCGUCCAGUCGGGCUGGACGUGGUGCCACACGCCUGUAACCCCAGCUACCUGGGAGGCUGAGGAAGGAGAAUCACUUGAACCCAGGAGACGGAGGUUGCAGUGAGCCAAGAUCACGCCAUUGCACUGCAGCCUGGGUGACAGAACAAGACUACGUCUCAAAAAAAGAAAAAAGAAAGAAAAAAAAGAAAAUAGUUCUGCUGUGAAAAUGACUGUUUGCAUUACCAAGAAGAGAUUUCAAAGUUAUCUUAAAAUGUUCCUGUUCCCAAGAAGCAGUAUAUAGUAAUAAAGACAUAUAUUCACCAAGAAUAACAUGUCCAGAAAGACAAGUUCUUAAAAACAGAAUGAGUGACAGUGGGCACACCAUGAGACUUAGUCACCUCCAAGAAGGACCUGGGUAGGAAAGGAGGGGCUGGGAGGGAAACUGCACCCCUUCAUUCCCACCCCACCCCAGCAAUUCCAGGCACAAACAGUUGAGCUCUGAGACAGAUGAAAGCUUUUCAGUUCUCAGAAGUCCAAAGGGCUGACCCACUUUGCCGGUUUGCAUGGUUUGCCUGGAGUGGCAUUAAGGCCGGCUUCUUUACAGUGUGUCUGAAAUACAAU
rnacentral:lncRNA from 1 species